rnacentral:lncRNA from 1 species
AGAAAUCUUAAUAAAAUAUUAAAAUAGAAAUCUUAAUUAAAUCCUAAUCAAAUUCUAAUCAAAUCCUAAAUAAAUCCUAGUCAAAUCCUAAUAAAUCUUAAUCAAAUUCUAAUCAAAUAUUAAACAAAUUUUAAUAAAAUCUUUAUCAACUUCUAAACAAAUCCUAACCAAAUCUCAAAUAAAUCCUAAUCAAAUCCUAAACAAAUCAUAACCAAAUCUUAGUUAAAUCCUACCAAAUCCUAGUUAAAUCCUAUCAAAUCCUAGUUAAAUCCUAAUAAGUCCUAAUCAAAUUCUAAUUAAAUCCUAACCAAAUCCUAACCAAAUCAUAAACAAACUCUAAAAAAAUUUUAAACAAAUCCUAGUCAAAUUCUAAACAAGCUUAACCAAAUAUUUGUCGAAUUCUAAAAAAAUCCUAAACAAAUCCUAAACAAAUCCUAAUCAAAUUUUAAAUAAAUCCUAAUCAAAUCUUAAAUAAAUUCUAAUCAAAUCCUAAAUAAAUCCUAACCAAAUCCUAAAUAAAUCCUAAUCAAAUUUUAAACAUAUCCUAAUCAAAUUUUAAAUAAAUCCUAAUCAAAUCCUAAAUAAAUUAUAACCAAAUCCUAAAUAAAUCUUAAUCAAAUCCUAGGCAAAUCCUUACAAAUCCUAGCCAAAUCUUAAUCAAAACCUAAUCAAAUCCUAACCAAAUUCUAAAUAAAUCCUAAAUAAAUCUUAACCAAACUUUAGUCAAAUCCUAAAUAAAUCUUAACGAAAAUUUAGUAAAACCCUAAUUGAAUCCUAACCAAAUCUAAAGAAACCUUAACCAAAUCCUAAUCAAAUCCUAAACUUAUCAUAAUCAAAUCCUAAAUAAUCCCAAAUAAUUCCUAUAGCAGAUUUAAACUUCAAUAAUUAAUGAAUGAACCAUUGAUUUUAACUCAAAUUUUUCACACCUCUUAAUAAUUAAGUUUAAAAUGAGCACAAUUUUUUUGAAGAUCGAACACACCAAAAAGAAGAUCAAUUCUAAUAUUUGCUCAAAUUUUGGUCAACCUCUUUCUUCAAUCUAAAUGUUGAAUUUCUAGCAUUAAUAUCUCCUUAUCAAACCAUUCGAUUGAUCUCAAAUUUCUUAUAUACAUAGAAAAAUAAGUCUAUUACUUAUACAUAUAAUUUUCACUCCAAUCUAAUUGAUAAAUUUCAAGAAAUCUAAGAAAUACUUACUAGACCUAAAACUCUACUUCCCGAGACUCUGACCUAUAUAAACCUCAAUAACCCUUGAUCCAACCUUUUGAUCAAGCUCAAACUUAUAACUUAUAUUGGACACAUAUAUAUCUACAAAUCUUCAAAAUUUCACUUAUAGAUCUAUUGCCAAACUUAGAAAAUUCUCCAAAAAUUAUCACCUACUUUAUUUCACAA